rnacentral:lncRNA from 1 species
GUAAGUUUUCUCUUUUGGGCUCUUUCUCAAUCUAACAAGAGAAAAAUUCCAAGAACUGGCCAACCUCAACACUUCAUAUAAAUUCUUAACCAUACCUAUCUUUAACUCUAUGACUCUCAAAUAAUGCCUAGGUCACAAAGUAACAAGUCACAGGAAGAAGGACAUAAGAAAGAAGGAAAAGUAACACAUCACCUACCAUAUGCCAAGGAAUGUAGAAAGCACUUUGCUCAUGUUUGUGCAAAGCCUCACUGUAAUUGUUUUACUUUGUUUGGGGAUGGGUUUUUUGGUUUCAGUUGGGCUUUUUGAGACAUCUCACUAUGUAGUUCAGGCUGUCCUUGCACUCACUAUGUAGCCCAGGCUGGGCUCAAACUUGAUGCAAUCCUCUUCCCUCAGCCUCCCGAGUGCCAGGAUUACAGGCAUGCUCCAUCACAUCCAGCUGUUGUUCUAUUUUUAUGAGCCUGUUGCUUAUGAACGUUGGCCCGAGAAUCAGAAUGUUUGAGUUUGCUGCUCUCCUCGCUGGGGAGUAGCUUAGAAAUGUGGACGUGUCAUUUAGCUGCUCCGCCCUUUUGCUUCCUCACCUGUGAAAUGGGAAUAACAUUGAUUCCUACUUCAUAAGGUUAGAAAAAUGAUAAAAGCCCAAGGGAAGGAGGGAGGGGAGAGCAGGGAGGACAAGGAGAUAUAAAAAGAAUUCAGAUAUAUAUAUACAGGUCCCAAGUCCCCAGGUGAAGCCAUUAUUAUGACCUGCAAACAUGGACUAAUAAAAAUUAAAUGUAAGGGGCGUUUGCUUGGUUUGGUUUUGAUUUUUUGAGACAGGGUCUCCCUGUGCAUUUCAGACUGACCUUGAACUCACUGUGUAGCCCAGGCUGGCUUUGACCUUGCAGCAAUCCUCCUGCCUCAGCCUCCUGAGUGCUGGGAUCACAGGCAUGUGCCAUCACACCUGGCUUCAUAUGUAGUGUGCUUAUAACAGUGCUGUUUAGCUUCAACAAAGAGUAUCUAGGUCAAAACUGUGAGUGAGGAGGAUCGGAGAAAGGAGCCAGAAAGCGAGUGUGGAGGAUGCUCUCAGUGAGCCAGGAGAGCUAGAUGGGGGGACACGGCCUCCAGCAUGUCUUCAUUUCCACACAACCACAAGCCAACUCCAGAAACAGGUUGUUUGCAUCCUCCUAAGAUAUUUAAACUGAAUUUCCUUGACCUCAGACUUCUGGCCCUAAACACUGUGAGAUAAUAUCUGUCUGUAGUUUCCCUCCCAGUUUGUGACACUGUGCCCUGGCAACCCUAGGAAAUGAAUGCAGCAUGCUAUGUGAAAUGUCCUCUGUAUUGUCUACCUCUCUUUUCUAAUUAAAGAAUGGCAUUGUACAGAAGGCCACCUAAUGGCAAGAAACAAUGUCCUGCCCCAUCCCUUCUCCCUCUCCGAAGAAUCCUAAGGUUCCGAGGUUUCUUUUUUUUUUUUUUUUGAUACCGGGGAUCGAACUCAGGACCUUGUGCUUUCGAGGCAGGCAGCAGAACCACUGAGCUAAAUCCCUGGCCCUCGAGGUUUCUUUUUUGUUUGUUUUUAUUUUUGGGGGGUACUGGGGACCAAACUCAGGACCUUUAGAGGCUAGCAGCGGAACCACUGAGCUAAACCCCUGCCCUCAUGUUUUUAGGGGGGUUUUGUUCCAAGUCAGAGUCUCGCUGUGUAGUCUAGGCUGGCCUUGGAUUCACUAGGUAGCCCAGGCUGGCCUUCAACUGGCAGCAAUCCUCCUGCCUCAGCCUCCCAAGUGCUGGGAUUUACAGGCAUGCGCCACCACCUCCAGCCUAAGGAGCCUUUUAAAAGGCUGGUAAAUUUCCACUUCUUCAAACCCUUCCCAACUACUGGCAACAGAGCAGGGAUUUCUCCUUGCUACUGAGCUUACUCUGAUAUGAGUGUUCCACUUCACAGGACAUAAAACGCCCAUGUAAUGAAUAUGCAUAUUAAAUUUUCCUUUUUUCAGUGCUUAAAUUAUUCCAGUCAGCCUGCUUUGGAAGGAGGCUUGCUUUCUGGAGGGCUGUCCUGCACAGAGGCAGUGUGGUCAGUUACUAUUCUGUGAAAUAUGAAACAACCACCAAGCUAUGUAAAAAGGAUCUACUCACGAUUUAAAACCCAACUCCAUAGUAACCGCUGCCUAGGUCAGAAGACGGAAGGCUACAUUCCCAGCAAGGCUCAGCAUCGCCGGGUGCAAAGAAAGCACAGAAUCCUUUACAGGGACCACGCUGACCCCAUGCACAGCACCGCAACUCAUAACAGCUAAUCCUGGAAGAGGACCCCGUGUCCAUCGACACAUGAAUGGAUAAAGAAAAUGUGCAAAAAUAAAUAAAUAAAUAAAUAAGAAAAUGUGCUAUUCAUGCAGACAGAGGCUGCACACUCUGCCAUGAAGAAAGAUAAAUCUAAAUCGUUUGUAGGAAAAUGGAGGCACCUUGAGACCAUAAUGUGAAGUGAAAUAAAUCAGACACAGAAACUUGACAUGGUUAACAUGGUUUCUCUUAUGCAAGAAACCCACAUUGUAAAUAAAGAGCAAGAUAAAGAUAGAUAAUAGGAAACAGGGAGAUAAGCCUUUCGCAAAAGGGAAGGAAACCAACAGAUGGGGGAGAGGAGAAAGGGAGGGAAAAAGAAUUAAGAUGUGUUACAUAGGGCCAGGGAUUUAGCUCAGUGGUUCCGCCGCCUGCCUCGCAAGUGCAAGGUCCCGAGUUCGAUCCCUGGUACCAAAAAAAAAGAUGUGUUACAUACUUGCACCAG